rnacentral:rRNA from 1 species
UACGUAGGGGGCAAGCGUUGUCCGGAUUUAUUGGGCGUAAAGAGCGUGUAGGCGGCUUGAUAAGUCUGCUGUGAAAGUCCAGGGCUCAACCCUGGAAAGCCGGUGGAUACUGUCAAGCUAGAGUCCGGAAGGGGCGAGUGGAAUUCCUGGUGUAGCGGUGAAAUGCGCAGAUAUCAGGAGGAACACCAAUGGCGAAGGCAGCUCGCUGGGACGGUACUGACGCUGAGGAGCGAAAGCGUGGGGAGCGAACAGG